rnacentral:rRNA from 1 species
UCUUGCAAACUAAAGAUGGCGACCGGCGCACGGUGAGUAACACGUAUCCAACCUGCCGAUAACUCGGGGAUAGCCUUUCGAAAGAAAGAUUAAUAUCCGAUAGUAUAUUAAAACCGCAUGGUUUUACUAUUAAAGAAUUUCGGUUAUCGAUGGGGAUGCGUUCCAUUAGUUUGUUGGCGGGGUAACGGCCCACCAAGACUACGAUGGAUAGGGGUUCUGAGAGGAAGGUCCCCCACAUUGGAACUGAGACACGGUCCAA